GGGAGAGAUAGAGAACUCAAUGAGAAGAAGGAAGGAAGAGCUUGAGAAUGAAGAGGAAAGAUGGGGAAAUUGAUGGAAUUACUUCAAGAGAUUGGCUCUAGGUCAAGACGAGGACAUUGUUCCAUCGCUAUCAGAGACCUACCGCUCUAUAGUGAUUCAUGACGAACAAAUAGAACGUAUGAGGAUUAUGGAACUAUGGUAUUCUGGUAUCUCUGGAAUCAUUCAAUCGGUAAUUACUUUGGGAGUCCGUCUUAACCCUUGAUGCUUACCCUUCAAUUGUCAAUCUCAGUAUGCCCAGACUCCC